GACAUAUGGUGUCGCGGCGCCAGUAGGCCUCCUCCCCAUCCCACUUCAGUUCACUGCCUUUCAGAGCCACCAGCGAUAAGGACAUAUGGUGUCGUGGUGCCUACAAGCUGCGCGUCGAGUUCAGCCGCUCACGCCGCCCGCACGAGGAUGGCCUACACGCCCUCCGCUGCCUCGACCGCGACGCUAGGCUCUUCAAGCGCCGUCGCGACGAGCCUGCUCCCGCCGUCCCUGCCUCCAAUUCGACUCCUACACCCACUGAAGUAGCCCUGCCCGCAAGAAUCACCUAUCUGAUACUCAAUCCCGCCUUGCCGCCCGACGUAGCAGCUCGCCGGGAUGCUACUGAGUCAGAGUUAGCUUGAAGACCUGUUAGAGCUGGUGGACAAAUCACAAACAAUGUUCAGAUGACACUACCAGUUAGCUCAAAGCCACAGUCCAGUUCAGGAAACUUCUUUCAAAUGAGAAGAACUCAACUGUGAUAAAAAUCAUCUAAGUGGAUGACCCUACUCAGCACGAUUGCCACCCGACGGGACAGUCGAUGCCGCCUGCCUCCUGAUUCGCUCCUCCUCAUCCGGCGUUGCCUCACGGCAGUAGCAUGAGGAACGAGAAGAGCAGGUAGAGGGAGAGGAGUGCCCGGACUGCGGUGGGACUGGGCUGUACGACCGCUGCAAAGGAGAGUGAUUCGUCUUCAAGCAGCUCUUGAAGGAGACGGCCACCAGGCCACGCAAGGCCGCCAAGAACAUGGCCACCAGAUACACUUCGGGGCUGUCCACCAAUGGACCUACUGUAAAAAGUGCUCCUCCACCCGCAUGCCUGUAUAAAAUGGCAGGGGUUCUACCAACAAUCAACACACAUGUGAAGUGAAGUUGGGACGUGUAGGUGGAUCCACGACGCGUGCAUCUAUAGGAACCCUGAUUUUGGUAUGGUUUCUACACUCAAAUUCAUCAGUAUGAUAUAAGACAAUCUGUUUACAUGUUUUGGUAAGGUUUUCUGGCAGGUAUUUAAGAGUGGCCCUCUCUUCAUAUCAUCGACAGGUAAAACUAUUAGUGGCACACAUUGGUUUUUUCCUUUGUUUCCAACCUGUAACAUUAUAUUAGGGGUAUGUGCAGUUUAGGGUAAGUAAUAUACUCCUUUGUGCUCAGUAAGUAAUUGAUAUAAGGUAGAAGAAGGUAGAAACAUAUGUACAAUUUAGAGUUUACCUCUUUAUGAUUUCUGGGUAGCCACAAUAUUUUCACAUUGCCAGUUUAUUGGGGUUUAAUGGCUUUGUUGGUUAUGUGAAUAAGUUUAAUGUGAUCAUUUUAAUGCAGAAUUAGGUUUAGCUUACUUCCAGUAAAUCAACACUCCUGCCACUACUUGUUAACUAGCUUGUGUGAUUAGAGCAAUCCUAGCCAACACUGUCAAGUGGCUUGAGUGGGGAGUGUUUUGCUAUUUUUGGGCUAUGGCUCUUGCAAUUAGGGGUGGUAGGGUUUAGCCCAUCGAGUUUCAAUUUCGAUUUUGGCUAUUUGUUGAUAGGCUUUGAAUUUUAGUGUUUUUGUUUAGACUGAAAUGGUUCAGUUCAUGGGUCGUACCCAAGUUUAUUACUUCUGAAUGAGGCGGUUGAUUUUGCUUCAGUAGUCGUGUGCUUGUAGUGAGGCUGUAAUGGGGAAUCUCCUGCAGGUUGGAGCUAUGGCAAUCACUGCUAAUAGGAGCUUUAGCUUACCUGUUUUGAGUUGGAUGUUGUGUUCUUUAUGGUAGGUUAUAGGUUCCAGUGUUUUCUUCUAUUUGGGCUUGAAAUGCUUCAUCUAUUACUUUAGAUUAGUGAUUGAUAUUACUUGAGUAGCAGUGUGUUUGUAGUGAAGGUGGAAUGGGGAAUCUCUUGCAGCCUGGAGCUUUGGUAAUCAGCCAGUCACUGCUACUACAAGCUUUAGCCCCUGAUUUCUAAUUGGAUGUUCAAUUGUUCAAUAUUAGAUGGCAGAAAGCAGCAAGAGGCCAGUAGUAGAGCAUAUCGGCGGCUCGGAUAAGCGGAGCCUGACUGACAGCGAGCGGCCACACCCAGAUGAUAGCUGUUGUUGGUAGAGAAAAAAAGGUUAGAGACAGAGACCGAUCGAUGGUGUUUAGUUUUUUUUCUCCUUCUUCUUCCCUUGGCGAUGUGUUGGAAAUCCUGCUGCACAUGGCGAAGAUUUGCAGCUCGGAUCUCACGUGGAAAUGAGCAUGUGCAGUGCAGUGCAGAUGCCAGUUCGCAGACUCAGUCUGAUGCUCUACCGCUCGAUCUGAGAUGGAACCAAACGCAGGCAGGUAGGCAGGCAGGCAGGUGAGGCAGAGAUCAUCCCGGACGGACGGAUGAGGAGCCAGGCAGGAUGAGCCAAAUAAUCACAGGCGACGCAUGUAUGCGUCUGCGAUUAGGUAGAGCAAGGGCGGCAUCAAAACUGGCUCACAUUCACAUGGACGGACCACCACGCCCACGCUGCCUGCAGGCAACGGCCACUCGCUGUCGCUGCGCUGCAAACUCCCCGCUCCGGUUCCGGCCAGAUCCAUCCUUGUCCACUACAGAUGUAGAUCAGGUUUGCCAGUGGAGUGCAGGUUUGCCAGUGAACUACAGUGCACUUAUCACUCAGCGAGGCAUAGGAACAGUAGUCUGGUGGUUUAUGCCUCUCAAGAUCGAUUGGUGAUCAGGAUCUGUCUAAUGCUGGAGGCCAUCUUAUUAUUUCAAGCGACGGUGUCUGGGAUGCUUUUGACUGCAGAAAUGGCUUUUAAAUGUGCACGAGGGCUUCCUCCUGAGGCCGCAGCUGAGCCAAUUGUUAAAGAAGCAGUUGAAGCAAAAGGAUUGAGAGAUGAUACAACUUGCAUUGUCAUUGACAUAAUAUCACCAGAGAAACCAAAACGCACUAUACAAUCUCAAAGAACGCCAGGAAAAGGCCUUGUGCUUCUUAAAAAAAUUCUUUUUAAGGAAAACAACAUCUAACUCGUUGUCUCUCCCUUAUAAGAAUAAUUAUCCUGAGCCAGAUUUGGAGGAGGUCUUUGAGGACGGAUGCCCAUCCCUAUCAAGGAGGUAUCAUUGGAAUUCAGUCUUCAGUUUGACAAAUAACGGCUUAGUAGCACCAGAAAAAGAGGGGGUCAUGAUUCCACAGUCUGUUAAGUUAUGAGGUAUCAUUGGAAUUCGUGUCGAUAUGUCAUCCCUGCAAACAUACAACAACGACUUAUUGAUAUCGCUAAAAAGGACUAGAUUAGUGUAUGGUUGUCGAUAUAUUUGUCUGUCAUUAUAAAAUUCUAAAUUGACUCUUAAGAAAUAUUUUGUGUGAUAUUGAUAAUGUUUACCACACGGAUUUUACAUA